rnacentral:lncRNA from 1 species
AGAUGUACAACGUGGUGUUUUGAUACACAUACACAUUGUGAGAUGAUUCCCCAAAUAAAGCUAUUUAACCUAUUUAUCACUUCACAUAUCUGUUUUUUGGUCAUCUACUCUCUGGGCAAAAUUCAAAUAUCCAAUAUAUUAUUAUUCUAUAGUUAUGAUGCAAUACAUUAGAUUUCCACAACUUGUGCAUUUUAAAACUGUGAGGUUGUACCCUUUGACCAAAUUCCCCCAUUUUCCUCCAUCCCCUACCCGCUAGCAAACACCGUUCUGCUUUCUGUUUCUAUGAGUUAGACUUUUUUAGAUAACAUAUAUGAGUAAGAUUAAGCAGCGUUUGUCUUUCUGUGCCUGGGUUAUUUCACUUAGCAUAAUGUCCUCCAGUUUCAUCCAAGUUGUUGCAAAUGGCAGGAUCUCCUUUUUUAAAGUUGAGUAUUAUUCCAGUGUGUGCAGUAUGUAUACACACGUAUACACAUGUACCCAUGUAUGUAUGCACACGUAUACACAUGUACCAUGUAUGUAUGCACACGUAUACACAUGUAUGUAUAGAUGUAUACAUGUACACACUUAUGAAUACAUGUGUAUCUACAUGUACACAUGCACACAUGUAUAUGCACAUGUGUAUACAGGCAUGUAUAUAUGUGUGCUUACCUACGAAUAUACAUACAUACACAUAUCUGUAUGCAUAUACACACGUACAUAUCGAUAUGUAUAUGUAUACAUAUGUGUCCGGAAUUGGUGGGUUCUUGAUCUUGCUGACUUCAAGAAUGAAGCUGCGGACCCUCGUGGUGAGUGUUACAGCUCUUAAAGAUGGUGUGUCUGGAGUUUGUUCCUUCAGAUGUUCAUAUGUGUCCGGAGUUUCUUCCUUCUGCUGGGUUCGUGGUCUCGCUGACUUCAGGGGUGAAGCUGCAGACCUUUGCAGUGAGUGUUACAGCUCUUAAAGACAGCACGUCCGGAGUUGUUUGUUCCUUCUGGUGAGUUUAUGGUCUUGCUGGCUUCAGGAGUGAAGCUUCAGAUCUUCGCAGUGAGUGUUACAGCUCAUAAAGGCAGCGUGGACCUAAAGAGUGACCAGCAGCAAGAUUUAUUGCGAAGAGCGAAUGAACAUAGCUUUCACAGUGUGGAAGGGGAGGUAAGUGGAGUGGGUUGCCGCUCCUGGCUUGGUUGGCCUACUUUUAUUCCCUUAUCUGGCCCCACCCACAUCCUGCUGAUUGGUCCAUUUUACUGUGAGCUCAUUGGUCCAUUUUAUAGAGAGUUGAUUGGUCCGUUUUACAGAGAGCUGAUUGGUGUGUUUACAUACCUUUAGCUAGACACAGAGUGCUGAUUGGUGCGUUUACAAACCUCUAGCUAGACACAGAGUGCUGAUUGGUACAUUUACAAACCUUUAGCUAGACACAGAGUGCCGAUUGGUGCAUUUACAAUCUUUUAGCUAGACACAAAAGUUGUCCAAGUCCCCACCAGAUUAACUAGACACAGAGCGCUGAUUAGUGCGUUUAUAAACCUUUAGCUAGACACAGAGUGCUGAUUGGUGCAUUUACAAACCUCUAGCUAGACACAGAGUGCUGAUUGGUGUGUUUACAAUCCUUUAGCUAGACACAAAAGUUCUCCAAGUCCCCACCUGACCCAGAAGCCCAGCUGGCUUCACCUCUCAAUGGCACUCUCCGCGGGACUUUGCAGCACCUAGCCCGGGCACUCUGGCAGCCCAGAGGGAGCUCAUCCCCCAAUCAAGCCCAGCAGGCACUGAGCCCCUGACCACCCGGAACCCGCACCGGCCUGUGAAUGCCACGCGCAGCCCCAGCUCCCGCCGGCACCUCUCCCUCCACACCUCCCCAAGAGCAGAGGGAGCUGGUUACAGACUCGGCCAGCCCCAGAGUGGGGCCCCCACAGCACAGCGACAGGCUGAAGAGCUCCUCAAGUGCGGCCAGAGCGGACGCGGAGGCCGAGGAGGUGCCAAGAGCCAGUGAGGGCUGCUAGCACGUUGUCACUGCUCACAUAUACACGUAUAUACACGUGUAUACAUAUACAUAUGUAUAUACUUGUAUAUACAUAUGUAUAUACUUGUAUAUGUAUUCAUGUGUAUAUACAUGUAUAUAGGUGUACAGAUGUAUAUAGUAUGUAUAUAUACAUGCAUGUGUACAUGUAUACAUUGUAUACAGUUUACAUGUAUGUAUAUAUGUACACAUGUAUUCCAGUGCGUGUAUAUAUACACAUAAUAUAUACAUAUAUGUAUAUUCAUAUACACGCAUAUGCAUACAUAUGUAUAUUCAUAUACACGCAUAUGCAUACAUAUGUAUAUUCAUAUACACGCAUAUGCAUACAUAUGUAUAUUCAUAUACACGCAUAUGCAUACAUAUGUAUAUUCAUAUACACGCAUAUGCAUACAUAUGUAUAUUCAUAUACACGCAUAUGCAUACAUAUGUAUAUUCAUAUACACGCAUAUGCAUACAUAUAUGUGUAUUCAUAUGUACAAUGCAUGCAUAUGUGUAUUCAUAUGUACACAUGCAUGCAUAUGUGUAUAUUCAUAUGUACACAUGCAUGCAUAUGUGUAUUCACAAGUACACAUGCAUGCAUAUGUGUAUUCACAUGUACACAUGUAUACAUGUGUAUAUUCAUAUAUACAUAUGUAUACAUAUAUGUGUAUAUUCAUAUAUACAUAUGUAUACAUAUAUACACACAUAUACAUAUACAUACACACAACUUUUCUUUAACCAUUUGUCUAUUGAUGAACACAGUUUGUUUCUCUAUCUUGGCUACUGGGAAUAACGCUUCAAUGAACAUGGCAGUGCAGAUAUAUCUGAGAUACUGAUUUCAUUUCCUUUGGAUAUAUGCACAGAAGUGGGAUUGCUAAAUCAUUCAGUAGUUCUAUUUUUAGUUUUUGGAGGAAACUCCAUACUGUUUUCCAUAAUGGUUGUGCCGAUUUACAAUUGUACCCUUUUCUUCACAUCCUCACCAACACUUAAUUAUUUUUUGAUUUUGUGAUAAUAGCCAUCCUAGUAGGUUUGCGGUCUUAUCUCAUUGUGGUUUUGAUUUGCAGUUCCCUGAUGACUAGUGAUGUUGAGCACCUUUUCAUAUACCUGUUGGCAAUCUGUAUGUCUUCUUUGGAAAAAUGUCUUUUCAGGUCCUUUGCUCUAUUUUUAAUCACGUUAUGAGUUGCAUGAGUUCCUUAUGCAUUUUGGAUAUUAAGCCCCUAUCAGAUAUAUGGUUUGCUGUGCAGGAAUUUUUUAGUUUGAUGUAGUGCUACUUAUUUGUGUUUGACUUUGUUGCCUGUGCUUUUGGUGUCAUACCCCCAAAAAUUAUUGGCAAGCCCAGUGUCAAAAACUUUUCUUCUCUCUUUUCUUCCAGGAUUUUUAUAGUAUCAGGACUUGUAUUUAAGUCUUCAAUCCACUUUGAGUUGAUUUUUGUAUAUGGUGUGAAAUAAGAGUCCAUUUUCAUCCUAUGGCAAGUAAAUAUCCAGUUUUCACAACACCGUUUACUGAAGAGACCAUCCUUUCCCCAAUGUGUGUUCUUGGCACCUUUGUUGAAAAUGAAUGGACUAAAUUCAUAACUUGGCCUCUGGGCUCUCUAUUCUGUCCCACUGGUCUCUGUGUCUGUUUUUAUGGCAGUACCAUACUGUUUUGACUACUAUAGCUUUGUAAUAAAAUUACAGAUGCCUUACCAUUCCAUGUCAUUUCCUUCUGCUCUGUCCACACCAUUUUGAAUAAUUUAUUCCUUAAACUCCUUUCAGAUUACCAAAGUAUUUCCUAAUAAUUGGUUGUAUGUGCAUUAAAUAUCUCUAGAAGGAAACACAAAAAAACAAGUAAUCAUUUUCUAUGAGCUAGGAAACUGGGUGGGGAAAAAAACUUUUCAUUGUAUACUUUUACAAUUCUUAUUUUUGAAUAAUGUGGAUGCAUUAGCUAUAUAUGUGCAUGCAUAAUAUAUAUACAAAUAUACAUAAAUGUGUAUGUAGAUAUAUAAAUAAAUAAAAUGCAGUAAUAUCUAAUAUAACUAUUUUUCUGUAUAUUUACUCUAACAUGAAAACUUUUUUUUAAUUUAACUUUUAUUUUACAUUCAGAGGUACAUGUGCAGGUUUGUUAUAUAAGUAAACUUGUGCCAUGGGGGUUUGUUGUACAGAUUAUUUCAUCACCCAGGUUUAAGCCUAGUACCUAUUGGUUAUUUUUCCUGAUCCUCUCCCUCCUCCCACCUUCCAUCCUCCCAUAGGCCCCAGUGUAUGUUGUUCCCCUCUAUGUGUCCAUGUGUUCUCAUCACUGAGCUCCCACCUGUAAGUGAGAACAUGCUGUCUUUUUUUUGGCAGGGGGGAGGGGCAGUGAGACAGAGUCUCGCUCUGUCACCCAGGCUGAAGUGCAGUGGCAUGAUCUCAGCUCACUGCAUCCUCCGCCUCCUGAGCUCAGAUGAUCUUCCCACCUCAGCCUCCCGAGUAGCUGGGAUUACAGGCAUGUGCCACCAUGCCUGUCUAAUUUUUGUGUUUUUAGUAAAGACAGGGUUUCACCAUGUUGGCCAAGCUGAGAACAUGCGGUCUUUGGUUUUUGGUUCUUGCACUGGUUUGCUAAGAAUAAUGGUCUCCAGCUCCAUCCAUGUUCCUACAGAGAACGUGAUAUCAUUCUUUUUUAUAGCUGCAUGGUAUUCCAUAACAUGAAAACUUUUACUGUGGCACAUCUUUAGACUUUUGUACUUUUUAUAGGAUUACUUCUGUAUUUUAGGAGGAGAUUUGGAAUUCCUCAUUAGUAUCUACAUAAUAAAGUAUAGUUUUUCUGGGAAUAAAACUAUUUGAAACUAGACAUCUAAAAUUAAAUCAUGAAGUAAAAGUGAACUCAGCUUUAAAAAAUAAUUGAAAAGUUAAGUUGCCUUUAAAAAGUAAUUCCUCAUAUUACCUAAAUUGAUACUUAGCUAUAUUGUGUGAAGAUAUUUCUAGACCAAGGACAUCUUUAACCUGUGAAUUAAAGUCUCUAUUCAUGGCUUUUUUUUUUUUCUUUAACUAUGGAGACCUUAGGAGCUAGAGAGAUACAAUAAAAGGAAGAAGAGUUUUUUUUUUUAAUGACAUCUGCUUAAAGGAGGAGAAGUCAUUAGAUCUAUUAUCUUCCUACAUCAACCAACUAUAAAGGUAAAAUAAACUAUUUUUCAGAUAAACAAGAUCUCAAAAAAUUUACUUACCAUGCACCCUUUCCAAGGAAAGUACUGAUAGAUGGGCUCCACCAGAACAAGGAAGUAAACCAAGAAAGAGUGAAACAAGAGAUUCAAUGCAAGAAAGAUGUAAAGGAAGUCUCUAAAUUAAUGGGAAAGGAGAUUCCAAGAAAACAGUAGGCAAUCCUAGGUAUCGAUCAUCCAAUUAAUGUGGUCCAGAAGGUUCUAGAAGAGACAUCUUCCAAAAAGUAAAAGUGAUAGUGUACUUAAUUUGUUUGAAUGUAUAAAGAGGAGAUUUACAGGGGGAGUGUUUGGAAAUUAGUGAUAAAUACAUAGAAAACUAAGCAAAUGGAAAAACAAGUCAGACAUUCACUUUAGGGAAAGAAAAUGUAAGGGGAAAAGCAAUCAUAUUCUAUUAUAUUACUGAGCUUUCUUUGUCACUUAUGUAUUGUCAUAAUAACAUGUUUACUGGGCACUGAUUCUAAGUUUACUGGGAUGGUGGGUAGAUGGGAAUUGUUCUCUCUCUCUCUCUCAAUCCCUGUAUGUGUGUAUGUGUAAGAGAGCAAUAUGUUCAGUUUCCAUAGAGGUAAGUUGAUGGUAAUGCUAAAACAGAAAAAUUUUUAAAAAGUAGCAAUAUAAACAUUUUUUCCAGGGAUACGCAAAUAAUAUAUCAGAGGAGCUGAAACUAAUUGCCUCUGGAAAACUGGUAAUGAGAGCAAAAAGAAAGGCUGCUCUUUCUCAUAAAAUCUAUAGAGUUAUUUGACUCUUGUCAUAGGCCGAUUCUCUGGAAAGUAGAUUCUGAGAUGGAUCCAAGAGUUUUAUUGGGGAGUAUUCUUGGCAUCAAGGAAGAGACUGGAAUGAAGAACAAGGGAGCCUGUUCUUUAUAGGUCAGCUCCUUUGGGGAGGUGGCAGGGUGGACGGUGGAUCUAAGAGCAAAUAGCAUAUUCAUCACAUGGAAUGUGUUUGUGCUCAUGUCAUAGAAGUUGGAGAACAGAACCUUCAGCUCUUUUAACUUGGUUUCUUAAAAAAUAACAUGUUAUUGUCAUACACAUGUCUUAAUUCAGUGGUUGUUCUACACUCAAGAUGCCUUCCAUAGAAACCUGCCUUCCAAAAAAAGGAGGUAUGUGGGUAACACAAAAAAGAUCUGGGUAUUCUUGCAUGUCAGAGUUUGGGAAGCACUCUGUUAAAUCCAUUGUCACUCAGAUUUAUUUGUCCAUAGACCCAUUUUCAAAUCACAUGAUGCUAUCCUAAGGAAUACACUAAUAAACUCAUUUAAUUAUUGUUGAGCUUUCUUCAAGAAUGCAAUCCCCAAUGUUGUCAUUGUUCUUAGAAGGAAACAUAACUGUCUUUAGGAGGAAGAUUCCAAGAAUUGGUUGGUUGUGGUGAAAACAGAGUCUGCCUAUACAUGCCUGGGUGAGCAUUGAAAAAUGGAAACAAAACAAACAAAACACACCUCAGGCAAAAGAGGAGAACCAGGGGAAAGAAUAAAAAUAGGGGUGAGGAGUGGAGCUGUUUUGAACCAGGUUUGAAAAAUGCAGUAAGCAUCAAGGGGAGUCAUAAGAGCACAAAUGGGAAGCCAUUUUUUUUGCUUGUUUUUAAAUAAAAGUUUAGAGGAGGGGAAGGCUUUCUCCCCAGGAGGCUGGGUGGAGGAAAAGGAUCUGAUUAAGGAAGAGGUGGGUUGGAUUCCAGGAAAGGCAGGCAACUACACUGAGGUUCAGGUGAAUGAGAUCAUUUAGUUUCAACCUAAACUGGCUGUGUCUGGAGCAGCCAGACGUCAGGAGCCUGGGAUCUGCCAGGGAAUCUGCAAAAACAGGAGCAAACCAGCCUGGGGGGAAAGGAAUGGAAAGUGCAGGGCAUGACUUAAGUGUUAGGUUUGAUCAGUCAAGAUCAGUGACUCUCAGUGUGUCUGUGAUUGUGUCUGUGAUUUUUCCACCUGUGUUUAAUCUGUUGUGUAAAACUUCCCCAGGCUGGGCUAGCUUUAUUCUCUGAAACGGAGACUGUAAUAAAUGUCUUCCCCAUUGCAGAGGUCUGAGAUAAAGAACAGUAAAUUAAAUUUAUUAAGGAGGUAGGAGAUACCAAUGAAAAGAUUGGAGAUUAAGGAAAUAGAAAACAGAUAUACUGUAGAAAGUAUCAAUAUAGUAAAAAUUUGAUACUUUGAAAAUAUGAAAAAAAAACCUGACAAACUCCUGGCUGGGGGGAGGUUUGGGAAAACAGAGUGGUCUUUUGAUUCUAAGAUGACCCUCUAGAGAAUAAAAAAAAAAAUGUGUGCACAUCUUUAUCUUUGGUCUUAUAAGAGUGGGUGAAGGAAGUGAACUGGGUGAACAUGAAAUUACUUGUAAUUGAGUAAGCCUGGGAAAAUUUCACUAAGAGAGCUAAUGGUGGAUGUGAGGAUAAUCUUUACAGGUUCUAAGCAUUUUUCUCUUCUGAAACUGUGUGUGUGUAUGUGUGUGUGUGUGUGUGUGUGUGUGUGUGUGUGUGGUCAGAGGAGGGGAGGGGGGGCAGGUGGUUGUUUAAAAUAUUAAAUAGGUACAGCUGGGUGUGGUGGCUCACGCCUGUAAUCCUAGCACUUGGGAGGCCGAGGCAGGCAGAUCACCUGAGGUCAGGAGUUCAAGACCAUCCUGGCUAACAUGGUGAAACCCUGUCUCUACUAAAAAUACAAAAAAUUAGCCAGGCAUGAUGGCACACGCCUGUUGUCCCAGCUACUCUGGAGGCUGAGGCAGGAGAAUGGUGUGAACCCAGGAGGUGGAGCUUGCAGUGAGCCAAGAUCGUGCCACUGUACUCCAGCCUGGGUGACAGAGUGAGACUGUCUCAAAAAAAAGAAAAAAAUUAAAUAGAUACUAAAAAACAUUAAAAUAUAUAUGUAGGGUAACAAAAUUAUUGUGAUAAAAGCCAAUAAGUGGUUGCCAGGGCUUAGGGCUGGGAGGAGGGUAGGACUCUCAAGAGGAAGGAAAUUGUUUCUUAGUGUUAAUGGAUCAGCUCUGUAUUCUGAUUGUGAUGGCAAUUACAGGAAUCUAUACAUGCAAUAAAAUGUCAAAGAGCUACAUACACACUCUCAAAAAUUGUAUAUGUAAAAACUAGUGAAAUCUGAAUAAAGCCUGCCAUUUAGUUCAAUGUCAGUUUCCUGGUGUUGUGAAUUGAACUUGUCUUAUGCAAGAUUAUAUCAUUGGAGGAAGCUGGAUGAAGGGCUCAUAGGAACUCAUUGAACUCAAAUUUCUAUUUGAAAUUUCUAUAUGAGUAUGAAAUUAUUUCAAAAUAAAGAGCUUAAAACACUUGCGGGGGGGGGGGUGUUAAAUAAUAAGAGUACGACAGGUGUUCAUUACCAACCACCCACUUGAAGAGUGCAUUACCAUUACUUUAGAAAGCUUUAAAGCACUCUUUCCCAACCUCUUCCCUCUCCCUCUCCCAUCAGAGACAACUACUAACUAGAUUUUUGUAUUCAUUAUCUCUUUGCUUUUCUCUAUAGUUUUAACUUCAUGUAUUUAUAUCCUCCUAAAUGUAUUUAGUUUUGUGUGUUUUGAAUGCUAUGUAAAUUGAGUCAUUCUGCAUAUAUUCUUCCACCAGUUGCUUUUUAACUUAACAUUUCCUUUCUAAAUCUCAUCUGUGUAGCUUUUUUUUUGAGAUGGAGUCUCGCUCUGUUGCCCAGGCUAGAGUGCAGCAGCACAAUCUCAGCUCACUGCAACCUCUGCCUCCCGAGUUCAAGCAAUUCUCCCUGCCUCAGCCUCCCAAGUAGCUGGGAUUACAGGUGCCCACCAGCAUUCCUGGCUAAUUUUUGUAUUUUUAGUAGAGAGGGGGUUUCACCAUGUUGGUCAGGCUGGUCUUGAACUCCUGACCUCAGGUGAUCUGUUCGCCUUGGCCUCCCAAAGUGCUGGGAUUACAGGCAUGGGCCACCACACCCAGCCAUCUGUAGCUUUUUUAUUUCUUCAUUGAUGUAUUCAUUGUGAAUACACCACAAUUUAUUCCAUUGUUAAUCAACAUUUGGUCUGUUUUCAGUUUUUUUUUUUCUCCAAUUACAAACAGUGCUGGUAUAAACAUUCUUUUCCAUGCCUCCUAGUAAACAGUGCAAGAAUUCCUCUAGGGAAUAUACCUAGGGGUGAAAUUUCUGGGUCAGAGAGUUCAGCUACUUUUUGUAUUUACUAAAUGAUGCCAACUUAUUUUCCAAAGUGGUGUAACUACUGCUGCACAUUCUCAGUCACAUCGGGUAUUGUCAGGAUUCUUACUUCUUGUGUGUGUGGUAAAUAUAAAAUGGCAUCUGAUCACUGCUGUUCUAAUUUCUCCCCAAUUUCUAGUAAGAUUGAGCAUUUUCCAUGUAUUUGUUGCCAUUUCUUUCUCUUCUGUGAAACACACAUGUAACAUUUCUGCUCAUUCAUCAGUUGGAUUGUUCAUUUUUUUCUUACAGGUUUAUAGAGUUCUUUGUAUAUUCUGGGGCUUAAUUCUCUAUGUUAUGAGUACCUUCUCCCAGUUUCUGACACUUAUUUUUUUACUUUCAUUACAGUGUCUUUUAUUUUUAUUUUUUAUUUUUUGAGAUAGGCUCUCACUCUUGCCCAGGCUGGAGUGCAGUAGCACGAUUAUGGCUCACUGCAGCCUUGACCUACCAGGCUCAAGCGAUCCUCACACCUCAGCCUCCCAAGCAGCUGGGACUACAGGUGUGUACUACCAUGCCCAGCUGAUUUUUAAUUUUUUGUAGAGACGGCAUCCUACUGUUUCCCAGUUUAAUUAGGCAUAAAUAAAAAGCCACGUGAAGCCUGGAGAUACUGGACAUAGCAGAUUUGUCAAGCCAUUUUUCCCACCACCAGUGCCUGAGCACGACCUCAUUUGUCUUGGUCAAUGAAGCUCAAGGAAGCAUUGCACUUUGGCUUCCGCUUUAAGUUUUGUAUGUUGAUAUGUAUCCCAUGUCUUCUAACAAUAAAGUGCUAUUUCACUGACA